ACUCAAAUGAAUAGACGGGGGCCCGCACAAGCGGUGGAGCAUGUGGUUCAAUUCGAUGCAACGCGAAGAACCUUACCUGGGUUUGAACUGUAAGCGAAUACUCCAGAGAUGGAGUAGGCUAGCAAUAGACGGUUACAGAGGUGCUGCAUGGCUGUCGUCAGCUCGUGUCGUGAGAUGUUGGGUUAAGUCCCGCAACGAGCGCAACCCUUGUCUCUAGUUGCUCGCUGUAACAGGAAGCACUCUAGAUGAGACUGCCGGUGAUAAACCGGAGGAAGGUGGGGAUGACGUCAAGUCAUCAUGGCCUUUAUGUCCAGGGCUACACACGUGCUACAAUGGCCGAUACAAAGGGUCGCCAACCCGCAAGGGGGAGCCAAUCCCAUCAAAAUCGGCCUCAGUUCGGAUUGCACUCUGCAACUCGAGUGCAUGAAGGUGGAAUCGCUAGUAAUCGCGGAUCAGCAUGCCGCGGUGAAUACGUUUCCGGGCCUUGUACACACCGCCCGU
rnacentral:rRNA from 1 species